UAACAUGAUGAUUUUAAAUUUGUAUUGUUUAUUUCUUGUCAUUGCGACUUUGACGCAGCUGUUGUCAUGACAACAGAUAACAAAACAUGUUUUGUUGAAGGAUUAUUGAUGAAUAAUUUUCCACAAAAAAUUGGAUUUUAACCACGAUAGGAAAAUGAGAACCUGCGCCUAUCCGUUUAAACCGAUUGUAGAAUUUAUGGAAAGAUAUGGCGAUCUGAGUAUGCCCACUGAAGGGCACCAAGAAAGAGCCAACAAUAGUCAACGGUGGGUGGAACUAACGGACACGCGAACGUGAAAUGCUGAUGCCACCGGCGACACGAAAACUACUGAGAAAUUGAGAAAAGUGUGGAGUGACUUUAAACAGCAAGAAGAAGGCAACUCGCAUACACAGAGCUGCCAAGGGAACACUGGACUGGUGGCGCUCCAGGUUCUUCCCUGAAGCCAAAGGGAUUAGAGCAGAGUGCUUACCUACUUGUAAAUUAAAUCCAUAAUAAAGACCUAGGGUAACUGGAUGGAUAUACCUACCUUAUUAUUG